rnacentral:lncRNA from 1 species
AGUAACGUAACAUCAAAGCACAUAGGCUUAACGAUAACGGCGAAGAGAGACAGUCUGGUUGCGCUUCCAGGUAGCCCUGCGGGACGGCCUGGCCUUGUGGUGAGUGUGACCCUUGCCGCGCAGACCACGGUACUUCUUGCCAGCAGAGGUGAGACCACGGAGCUCACGGUGCUUGUGCACAGGCUUGCAGAGCCAGUUGAUCCUUGGGUCAUUGCGGAUAGCACUGUGAGCAACAUCCACAAGGAUGAUCUCAAAGUACUUGUAGGUGGAGUCCUGCAUUAAACCAAAGAAAACCAAGUCAUUAAUGGAAGGCAGAUACAUUGUUGAUAAUCAUCUUUGAAAGAUCUCAGUAAAGUGAAAUGUACCUCGUUCACCCAGUAGGAGUUGAGCACCCUGAGUCCGCCCAACUUGCGCCCAGCUCUCUCCUCAGCAACUGACCUCUUGUUCCUCUGGAACUUGAGCUGGGUGAUACCCUGGU